UACGUAGGGGGCAAGCGUUGUCCGGAUUUAUUGGGCGUAAAGAGCGUGUAGGCGGCCUGACAAGUCUGCUGUGAAAACUCGAGGCUCAACCUCGAGAUGUCGGCGGAAACUGUCUGGCUAGAGUCCGGAAGAGGAGAGUGGAAUUCCUGGUGUAGCGGUGAAAUGCGCAGAUAUCAGGAAGAACACCUAUGGCGAAGGCAGCUCUCUGGGGCAGUACUGACGCUGAGACGCGAAAGCGUGGGGAGCGAACAGG
rnacentral:rRNA from 1 species